AGUUUAUUGUUUUUUAUAAUAAAUUUUUUCUGCCCGGUGAAUAUUUUAACGGCCGCGGUACUCUGACCGUGCAAAGGUAGCAUAAUCAUUUGUUCUUUAAUUGGGGACUAGAAUGAAAGAAAGGUUGAAAGCAAAGCUGUCUCUUUUAAGAGCAAGAAAUUGCUGUUGUUGUGAAGAAGCAAUAGUCUGUCAAAAAGACAAGAAGACCCUAUUAAGCUGUACUUUUUCCAUUGAAUUUUUUCUUUUUAGUAAAAAAAUUCAAUGGAAAGGGUUUAGUUGGGGUGACUGAAGAGGAAUAAACUUUUAUCCUCUUUUGUUUAGAAAACUUUAGGUUUAAUUUUGAUCCAAUAUUUUUUGAUUGUAAGAAUUAGUUACUAUAGGGAUAACAGCGUAAUUUUUUCAUAAAGUUCUUAUUGAAGAAAAAGAUUGCGACCUCGAUGUUGACUUAUUGUUUCCUUGAAAGGUGUAGUAGCUAAAAAGGUUAGUCUGUUCGACUAUUAAAACAAU
rnacentral:rRNA from 1 species